GCUCGAAUGGCCCAAUUGGUAGGGCGCUUGGCAUGAAUCCAAGCAGCCCGGGUUCGAGUCCUGAUUCGAGCG